UUCCCUAUUCUUAUACAUGAAAUCACAUAUUUAGUUAUGAUAAAAAAAAAAUUAAAUUAACACCACAUUUUAUUUAUUUUCAUACAUAUAGAUCUAUGAAAGAAAAUUUAUCAAAAAUAUAAACGACUUAUUAACUAAUUAUAAUUGAUUUAUUUUAUUAAUAUUUUAUAUUAGUGUAUGAACAUGGAAGAAUUGCUUAGUAAUCUAUUACAAUAAAGUUGGUUUUCUCACUUCUCAUACUGCCACCUAAGCGAAGGGACUUCUAAAACGUGACACGUGUCUCUUUGCUUUUCCAACUUCAAAAUUUGAUCUUUGCCGUAUGGGCUGCUAACUACACAUAUGAUAUUCAAACUUGAAGCCCAGUUUAUCUUCCAGAUCUCUAUUUGUAGGAGGUCGUUUUUGGGCUUUACAAAUCUUAAGCGUAUGGGCUUAAUAAAAUAAUACCGUGAAGCCCAACACCAACCCUACGCUCAAAUCAUCGUCUUCUUCCUCUUGCCGUCAUUUCCAUUUUCCCUUUUCACAAAAUUUUUGUUGUAACAUCUCCAUAAAAGUUUCUUCUUUUAAGUCCCUACUAAAAUCUUAACCCCACUUACCCCCACUACGCCGUAUUUAAUACACCUCGACGUUUUUCUGCAUGAUUUGCAAUCACACUCCUAUAAAUAGUCAUGCCUCUCUGGGGUAUUCUUAUCACUACACCAAGAAUAUAGACUCAUUGAGUUACGAAGCGAGGAAGAUACUGACUAUAUAAAGCAGCAGUACUAAAGCACUUAGUUCACCUGUAGGAGACAUCAAAUUGGCCUAUGCAUUUCCCGACGCUUAUAAGCUCGUCGUGGAACGAAAAUCUUGUGAAAUGGAAACUUUCGGGGAGAGGUGAGGCGCCCAUCAUGAGCAAGAAGAGGGUUCGGAGCAAAUAUUUAUUCUACUGAGCAUCUAUAUCUACACAUACAAAUAUACAUGUUUGGUCUCCAUAAGUUAAUAUGUAAAAUAUGGAGAAGAUGAUGAUGGAUGAUAUAAACACAAGUUAGAAUCAUGAGAUAAGGUUUUUAAAGUGAAAAAAUAUAGUCUAUUUAUGUUGUUGUAAUAAAAAGUAACUUUUUCUACUUUAA